GAUGAACGCUGGCGGCGUGCCUAAUACAUGCGAGUCGAGCGAACAGACGAGGAGCUUGCUCCUCUGACGUUAGCGGCGGACGGGUGAGUAACACGUGGAUAACCUACCUAUAAGACUGGGAUAACUUCGGGAAACCGGAGCUAAUACCGGAUAAUAUAUUGAACCGCAUGGUUCAAUAGUGAAAGACGGUUUUGCUGUCACUUAUAGAUGGAUCCGCGCCGCAUUAGCUAGUUGGUAAGGUAACGGCUUACCAAGGCGACGAUGCGUAGCCGACCUGAGAGGGUGAUCGGCCACACUGAAACUGAGACACGGUCCAGACCCCUAGGGGAGGCAGCAGUAGGAAAUCUUCCGCAAUGGGCGAAAGCCUGACCGAGCAACGCGGCGUGGGUGAUGAAGGUCUUCGGAUCGUAAACCUCUGUUAUUAGGGAAGAAAAAAUGUGUAAGUAACUAUGCACGUCUUGACGGUACCUAAUAAGAAGCCACGGCUAACUACGUG
rnacentral:rRNA from 1 species